CCCCUCUUGAGAUUGCACCUGGAGAGUUUCCAGUACUCUACCAGUCUCAGCUAAAAGAGGGAGAGUCAAGCAGAGGAAUAACCAUUCCAUUCCUAGCUUGGACAGUGGAUUGCGAGUGAAAGGCAUUCUGCUACAAGU